rnacentral:rRNA from 1 species
CCUACGGGUGGCAGCAGUGGGGGAUAUUGCACAAUGGGGGAAACCCUGAUGCAGCGACGCCGCGUGUGGGAAGACGGUCCUCUGGAUUGUAAACCACUGUCCCCAGGGACGAAGAUGACGGUACCUGGGGAGGAAGCUCCGGCUAACUACGUGCCAGCAGCCGCGGUAAUACGUAGGUGGCAAGCGUUGUCCGGAAUUACUGGGUGUAAAGGGAGCGCAGGCGGGAAGCCAAGUCAGCUGUGAAAACUACGGGCUUAACUUGUAGACUGCAGUUGAAACUGGUUUUCUUGAGUGAAGUAGAGGUUGGCGGAAUUCCGAGUGUAGCGGUGAAAUGCGUAGAUAUUCGGAGGAACACCGGUGGCGAAGGCGGCCAACUGGGCUUUAACUGACGCUGAGGCUCGAAAGUGUGGGGAGCAAACAGGAUUAGAUACCCCUGUAGUC